rnacentral:lncRNA from 1 species
UCACUGAGAUUACUUUAUUUGACGAGGACUUGGGUAACUGCUCUGUUCCCUCGGCAAACCAUUCUACGGUCCAAAAUCUUCUCGGACUGGGCUAAAAGCUAUCCAUCUUCCCCAGUGAGAGGUACUGUCGGUGAGGCUUGCUGUGAAUUUUGAAUCCCUCACUUUAAUAGGGAUAUAUGAAAGACAAGAUGUAUUUGGGAUCCUUCAGGAAGUUGAAGCCAAUGAGCCAUAGAUCCGAUCCUUUCUAAUAUCUUGAAGGGGUCGUAAUAUUGUGAGGUAAGUUUGAGAUUCUUGUGGACUACCACUGUACUUUGUCGAUACGGCUAGAGCUUAAGGUAUACUAUAUCUCCU